rnacentral:rRNA from 1 species
GACGAACGCUGGCGGCGUGCCUAACACAUGCAAGUCGAGCGGGGUUGAAGCGAGGGGUAACUCGAGUUUCUACCUAGCGGCGGACGGGUGAGUAACGCGUGGGCAACCUGCCUCAAGGACUGGGAUAACAGCUCGAAAGGGCUGCUAAUACCGGAUAAGCCUAUGGCCUCGCAUGGGGCCAUGAGCAAAGGGGAAACCCGCCUUGAGAUGGGCCCGCGUCCCAUCAGCUAGUUGGUGAGGUGAAGGCUCACCAAGGCGACGACGGGUAGCCGGCCUGAGAGGGUGACCGGCCACACUGGGACUGAGACACGGCCCAGACUCCUACGGGGGGCAGCAGUGGGGAAUCUUGCACAAUGGGCGAAAGCCUGAUGCAGCGACGCCGCGUGAGCGAAGAAGGCCUUCGGUUGUAAGCUCUGUCUGGAGGGACGAAGGAAGUAGACGGUACCUCCGGAGGAGCCACGGCUAACUACGUGCCAGCAGCCGCGGUAAACGUAGACGUG